rnacentral:snoRNA from 1 species
AAGGCUAUACUUUCAGGGAUCAUUUCUAUAGUUGGUGACUAGAGAAGUUUCUAAAAAAUAUUCAUUCUCAGUAGAAAAGGAAUCAUCCAACCACAGA